UAACAAUUCGAUGAAUUCCUAGUUGGUAGACCAGACUGAGCCAGACGCAUAUAUUAACGGCUGUCUGCUGCUGAUGUGAGCCUGCUCAAUGCGGUGGAAAUGAAGGAUCACCUAGUCUCUGACACCAGCUUAUUUGCAUCUUCAGAGUUUGUUGGAUGCUGCGUCAUUCCAUUCCUUGGCAACACUAGAGUUAUUCUAACCUGAUUGUAAGAAUGUACUGUAAAGGCAAGAUAUUCCCCAUUCAAGGAAGGAGGGG